GACGAACGCUGGCGGCGUGCUUAACACAUGCAAGUCGAACGGAAAGGCCUGCUUUCCCUUGUGGAUUGCGGGUACUCGAGUGGCGAACGGGUGAGUAACACGUGAGUGAUCUGCCCCCAACUUGGGUAUAAGCCUGGGAAACUGGGUCUAAUUCCCGAUCGGACUGCAGGGUGGUGCCUGUGGUGGAAAACGAUUUUCUAGUGGUUGGGGAUGAGCUCGCGGCCUAUCAGCUUGUUGGUGGGGUAAUGGCCUACCAAGGCGGCGACGGGUAGCCGGCCUGGGAGGGUGGACGGCCACAUUGGGACUGAGUUACGGCCCAGACUCCUACGAGAGGCAGCAGUGGGGAAUAUUGCGCAAUGGGCGUAAGCCUGAUGCAGCGACGCCGCGUGGGAGAUGACGGCCUUCGGGUGGUAAACUCCUUUCGACCGCGAGGAAGCCACCUGGUUGGAAGGGUGGUGACGGUAGUGGUAGAAGAAGCACCGGCUAACUACGUG
rnacentral:rRNA from 1 species